rnacentral:lncRNA from 1 species
GUAGAUUAGGUAGGCAACCGGAAGGUCCAUGCCUCUAUUCUUAAGAAGUGUCUAUGUCGGCAACUGAUCCCAGACAACAUUCCAUAGGAAAAGUCUAACUUUGGGAUGGACGGUCACUCUCUAGAUCAAGCAGCCUCGAUCCUCCUUUCUAACACUGGCCUACUCAUCUCAACGAGAUCCCUAUCAGGGAUCUUAGGACAGCAAGACCAACCCCACACCCUCAAAUCAUGACUCCGAUGGAUAAGAAUCGGUAAAGCAAGAAUCUAUCGGUAAGCUAACCACC